UCCUGGGAUCCCCAAAAAGUUGUGUCCUUGUGUCCUCUCUGGAUCUAAGCUGCUUUGCUUGAGGCAAUGCACUGCACUUCCCUAUUAGAAAUGCAGACUGAUGUUUGGAGGGAAACGUGCAACACAAGAAGAGGAAUCUGACCUUGAUAACUGAACCCUGGAGCACGUCCAAGGCCAAUGGUACAAACUAACAGGAGGCUGAUAUUGCAAACUUUUAUAUAAUGCACAGUUGUGCCUCAACACCAAAGUUGUCUACUAAUACACCAACGUACACCUCGCCAUACUGCCCUCCCCCAAGUUUGUGCUUCAUGGUGAUAUCAGUCCGCUCCAUCUCCCACUUGUCGUGGAUGGGGGACACUCCAUACACAGUGGGCUUAUUGCACUUGGGUGCUGGGU